UAAGCCCACCUUCUGAGGUUCUGGGGAGGCAUGAAUUUUGGGAGGGAAACUAUCCCGCCCAGAACAGCUUCUAUUAUUUUGUGUGUGUGUGCUCAGCGCUUUGCAGACCUGACUUUAUUCCCUCCUCCUAGCCACCUUAUGAGGAAGGGACAAUGGCUACCUUGCCUCACAUGAGGAGGCGAGGCACAGAGACUCGGAACCUCUCAGGAUACACGAUCAUCUUUGCCCUUGCUUGGAAUUCAUCUGAUUAUCAAAGAGGGGGCCUGCAGCAGAGCCUCCCAACCUGACUUUUCUCUCCAAAUGGCAGUCCCUGUACAACAAUGAACAAGGAGAAGCUGGGCUUCACGGUGCCCUGUGUUCACAGGCUCCACAGCGAGAUGAAAUGUCCUGGUUUAAAACGGACACAUUGAUCAGAGCUGCUGGGAAGGCAAGCGGGAGGCAGAAAGGCACGGCUGCUUCCAAGUUUCUGUUGGCAGAGAGGGCAGAGCUGACAACUCCCAGUGAAAGAUGUUUUCACCGUGGCGCAAGAGCAGAGACAGGGCCAACCCGGCACCCCAGCCCUGCUCACAGCUCUAGGUUGAUGCUUCUCAGCGGGAAGAGCUCUUUCUCUCUCAAGCGUUUCAAUAAUCUUAACCUAACCUGGCACAGAACCUCACCCUUCCUGGGAGCACAGGAAUGUUUGCUACUUAAUGUCAAUAAAAUCCAACUCCUUAAGGUCUCUCCUGGGGUCCAUGGGGUGGAGUUCAUUCCACACCAUUCUGAGGACAGAGUCAGAGGAAUGUGCUGUGUCUUCUCUGGCUCAGAAUAAGUCCACCAGGCAUCUCUACCUUAUCCAGAAGAGAAUCAUUUAUUUGCACAAGUGCAUAGUGGCCGACACCGCCAGCACUAACCAGAUUGGAUUCUUGCUCCACUCUCCGGGCCCUCAUUCAAGGCUGGUCUGUUCCCGCAGGCCUUCUGACGAGUGCCAAAUUUUGUUCCUCUAACUUGGGUGAAGCCCCCUUAAACACUAGUCUCAAAGAGCCCUUGCUACAAAGGCGGAUGCUUGGGCCUCAAAUUCAAAGGCUCUAACUCAUUAGGUCCAGGUUGGGGUCCCAGGACUGUAAUACAGGUGGUCCUGGCACCACACUUGGCCAAAUGCUGGGUAGCUUGGAAGAAAGCUCCAGAAGCAAUCUAGAGCUUUAUAUCAUCACUCAAAAGUAAAGAUUUGUAGGAAAGAUCUAAACCAGUGUCUUCCCAAGUUCCCAGCUUCUUCAACCAAGCUGCUGGUUGAGGGGAAGGUGACUGUAGAUUUUAGGGCAUCGAUUUAUAUAGUGUGAAAAUUAUUUCCCUGUGGUUAGAUCAAAGGAAAAUUCUUCAUCUGGCACUAAGGGUCUUUAGCACCUCCUGACACUUCUAAGCUCCCUUUUGAACAAAGAGAGAGAGGCCUCAGGCUUGAAGCCAUCAGCAGGCAGCAGUAUCUGGCUGGAAUUUAGCAAUGUUCAUUUGUGGUCAAGUUCUUAGGAGCUGGGGCUAAGGCAACUUUUGUCAUCAAAAGGAAGGCCCAGAUCUUGGAAAGGAGCAGCGCAUCCUGAGUGUCUGCGGAGCGCCGACUUUGCAGCUGCAGGUUCAAGUUCUUCCCUAAUCCCGGCAGAUCUGCCUUCUCAGUCCUAUUGGUCUCCAUGUGUGGUUGGCGCGCUCUCUGGGCUUUGCUGGUGUGAAGCCCGGGGGAGUUGGAGUUUUAAGAGCAGUGCUCUUAGCGGGAAGAGCUCUUUCUUUCUCAAACAUUUCGGUAAUCUCAUCCCAACCUGGCACAGAACCUCAUCCUUCCUGGGGACACAGGAAUAUUCGCUACUUUACAUCAAUAAAAUCCAACUCCUU
rnacentral:lncRNA from 1 species